rnacentral:lncRNA from 1 species
CAAUUUCUUCAAUCUCAAAUUGUCCCAGUUAAUUAAUUAUUGACCAUGAAAAGCAAGGAAAAAAAGAAAACCACAUUCAUGCAAAUUAGGUCAUCACCUGUCUUGCUUCUAAGGAAUGGUAGGGAUUCUUACAUCAACAGCUUCAAUGGCUGUGCCAAUGACGUUGGACGAGGCGGCGCGGUGGUCUGUCCGGUUCCACAUGUUUCCCAUGUGCCCAAGAAUUUCAGUUGUGGCAGCUCCAGGUCAAGGGAUGAUGAAAAGCUUAGAGAGAUGGUAAGACAGGCGACGUGUAAGCGGAUUAUUGGCCGGGAGGUGGGGCUGAAUCUACAGCGGCAAACGGAGGUGAUUGAGGCUACUACUGUGCGAAAUAGUUACAGUGUUGGCGUUGGAAAGAUAGGGAGAAUUGAUGAAGAUAAGCCUUGUUCCUUUGAGGAAAAUUUGUUGUACCCAAGGAGCAAAAGCCAUGCUAUUGGAAAUGUUUUGCAUCGUUAAUUAGUUAGUCAAAUACUACUACAUUUAAUAUGCUAGUUGCAGUUGAGAUCAAGGGUAAAAUUGCUUUAUUGUUUGUGUAUUAAUACAUUAUAUAUAAAAAGGUCACUCAUUUGGUGAUGUUCGUUAUGAAUCGUUGAACUUCUCAAAGUCAAACAAGUUCCAAAAUUUAGGCCAAUUCCCUUAAUUGUUAUUGCAAUUUUUACAAUCAAUCAAAAUUAUUAAAUUUAUGCUGAUUGGACCAUUUCUGUUUCAUUUUCAAUCACUUGUUUAAAUUAAGCCUUAUUAGUUAAAACUAUUAACAAUUACGAUCGAUGUUGAUAUAUUGUAUAAUAACUAAUAGUAAUCCCUCAAAUUAGUUUAGUCUUCCUUGUUACCCUGCCUCUCAAACGUUGCAUACUUGUUCAAUUAUCUUAAUGUACGUGGUAGAUUUGGAGGCAUGCAUGGAUCGCUUUUGUAUGGCUCAAUUCAAAAGAAUCUUGAAGUUAAUUUUAUUUUUCAAAAUUGUCACAUACAUACAAUUUGAAACUUAUUAAAAGUCUAAAUACAUAUAAUUUAUGGUACAAUUUAGAGGUUUGUCAAAGUAUUAAUUCAGAAAUCUAUACUCCCACACAAAUUAGUUGGAGAUAUAUUUUGAUAAAAUCAAUAGAAAUUGGAAUCCAAACUCUUAUGGUGUGUUUACUUGAUGGUUUAGGGAAUGAGAAUGAAACUUAUGUUUACUUGACAAAAUGUAAUUUGUGAAUGAGAAUAAAAUAUGUGAGUCUCACACAAUUUGGGAACAAUGAAUGAGAAUCUCAUUCCCAUGGGGGGUUGUGAAUAAAAAUGAGGGAAUGAGAAUGAAAUCUAUGUACACUUUUGUAUCCCUCUAAUUUUUUCAUAUUUUCCAAAUUAUCCUCGUUCAAAUCAUAAUUGUAUAAUUUUAAAUGUCAAUAUUAUUAUUAUUAUUAUUAUUAUUAUUAUUAUUAUUAUUAUUAUUAUUAUUAUUAUUAUUAUUAUUAUUAUUAUUAUUAUUAUUAUUAUUAUUAUUAUUAUUAUUAUUAUUAUUAUUAUUAUUAUUAUUAUUAUUAUUAUUAUUAUUAUUAUUAUUAUUAUUAUUAUUAUUAUUAUUAUUAUUAUUAUUAUUAUUAUUAUUAUUAUUAUUAUUUUUUAUUAACUUUAUUAUUUCAGUUAUUAUUAAUUAUUGUUAUAAAUUUUAUUAACUUUAUUAAUAUUAUCAUUAUUAACAUUUAUUAUUAUUAUUAUUUUAAUUAAUAUAAUUUUUAUAAUAAUAUUUAUACAUGUAUCUAGUUAAUGAAAAUUAUAUUAUUUAAUACUAUGGGUAUUUUGAUAAAUUAAUUCUCAUUCACAUUACUCAUUCCCAUUUGUUUUGUCAGGUAAACAUAUCAAUGAUAUUCCAGCACACUCUCAUUCUCAUUUUUUUUUACCAAGUAAAUAUUAAAAUCUCAUUCUCAUUUCAACCAAUUCACAUUCGCAACUCAUUCUAUGAAGUAAACGCAUCAUUAAUAUUGAAGGACGUGUGUUACCGCUGGUCUAAAAGGCCUAAUGGCCAAUGACAGUUCGGGGGUAUUUUGUGGUAAAUAAAAACUAAUAAGGUCAAAAUAAAAAUUCGUUAUCAUUGAGUCUUGAUGUGUGGAAAAAAAAAAGUACAGCUUUGGGGCAGGGGGUAGUCAGCGUGUGUGAUCCAAAUCUUAGCAGGCACAGCCUUGGGCCUUGCCAUAUUUUACAUGUAUGUCUGAAUAAUGCCGUUCCUUCCUGGUUCCUUUAUCUAUCGUCAAGACAUUGUGUUAUGGAUCGCAAUUCCAUUAACACUGUUCUCCUCUCAAUAAUUGAGCGUACCUAAACCUGAAAGUGGAUCUUCAAAUCAUUGAGCAUGGCAGCAUUGCAAUUAUUUAUUCUCUUUGUGGCCCUUAAUGUGGUCCUCAGCUCAUCACGGCAAAUCAUCACAACCCUGCCGGGCUUUGAUGGUGAUCUUCCCUUCAAACUCGAAACUGGGUAUGCUCUAUUUUGUUUUAUUUUUCCUUUCUUGACAUACUUAUUAGCUGAAUUAAUUUCCCCAGAAAGAAAAAAAAAACAUUGUAUUAAUUACUUUUAGGUAUAUUGGGGUGGGAGAGAAUGAUGAUGUGCAGCUGUUUUACUACUUCAUUGAAUCCGAGCGGAGUCCUGAAGAUGACCCUCUUGUGCUUUGGCUCUCCGGAGGCCCUGGUUGCUCUGGAUUUUCGGCCCUUGCAUAUCAACUUGGUAUAUUCUUUUAUUCCUGAAAUGAAAUAUAUACAUAUAUAUAUAUGCUUUUAUUUUUUUGGUUUCCAAUCUCCUUUUUUUCGUAGAGAGUGGGGUCCAAAUCUUACGUUAUAUGCAACACCUCACGAGAUUUAAGAGUAAAACCAAAUGCACCCACAUCAUAUAUAUUUGAUCAUAUAUAUUUGUUGAAGUAUGCAUCGACGGCUCUUCCUCUAGAUAAUUUAGGCGAUUGUUUAGAGCCCUAUUAUAGAUGAAGGUUCUUAAAUUUAUUCUUAAAUUAUAGUUAUUAAUUAUUGAUUUAUGUUUAUUAUUAUUAUUUUAUAAUUAUAUUUUCCAUAAACAAACUAGUAAAUCCUUACAAAGUCCCCUUUUAACAUUAUAAUUAACAAUUUUAAUCUCAUUUAUUUCCUCCAUAUAUUUCAUCUAAAACUCUAUAAAGGCCACAUAUUUUUUAAAAUUAUUAUCCAUUAAUAUCUUUUUCCAAUAAAAAAAAAUCUAUGAAACCUUCAUUGUUUUGGUGAAAAAACUACUUUCUCUAUCCUACUUUUCACUUAAGAAAAAAAAAUUUCAAUUGUUUUACUAUUUAUUGAUCACUGCUGCUCAAAGGCUCUAUACAUCAAAGUUUAAGUUCUCAAAAUUUUCAGGUUCUAUUUUUCCAUUCUCUUAUUAAUUAAUUAUGUUAUUCAAUUGCUUUUGUUUCUUUUUAAAAAUAUUAUUGUGUUCAUAGGUUGUUUUCUUGCAAUUAUCUAGCAUAAUUUUUUACUUAAUUACUCUUGUUUCAAUAGGAAAAAAAUGUCUACUACAAAAAUAUGCAUUAGGAUACAAAAAACUUCAAAAAUAAGAGAAGAAUAGAAAAGUUAGUUUAUUCUAAAAAAGGAGCCAUUAAUAAAAAUUUAUUUAAGAUCAACUAUAUCAUAGGAAUAUUAAAUAGGUUAACUAUAUUGUCUAUUGAGAAAGAUAUAUUAGGAAAAUUAGAAUAUAAAAAAUUGAUUAAUAAUUAUGCAUCUCAAAAGCUAGAGAAACUGAUUUUAAAUAAAUAAACUCUUAAUCAAAUUAAUACUUACAUUUUACCUUAAAGUUUUUAGAAGGCCUAAUUAAAACAAUUUACCCAAGGCCUAAAAUAUGAUUGAGCCGCCCCUAGAAGUAUGAAUCAGAAUUAGAAUUCCAGAACAAACAACAACAUCGGAUCAGUCAGUGAGCGUUGGCCAACUGGCCGAUUUGGGGUUGGAUGACACGUCGGUUUAAAACUUUGAUCACACGUUUGAAAUCUACUCAUGUCAUACGAGUGCAGUUAGUAAAAGAUGUGCGUUGCAUGUGAUUCACUUGAACAUUAUAGGCUUUAAAUGACAGUCUUGGAUGUCAUUUAGCUCACUUAUGGAUUCCACAUGUCCUGGACAUGGGAGAGGCUGUCAAAGGCAGUCAAAAGAAGCUAAAAAAUUCUUGCUUUGUUGAAACAGACCCAGAAUGCAAGCUGGCUUCUUAACCAACUUCCUUGAUGCUUCUAUAGUGAUAUAUAAAGCUAUUUAGCUUGUGCUUUGGUUCUUAGAUUCAUUGAAACUUCCUCUAUAAACUUGCAAUUUGAUUUGCAACAGCGAAAGAAACCAUAGCUUUGUUUCUCAAGAGGAUGUAGGCCACCGGCCAAACCUCUAUGGAUCUUGUUUGUCUUGUUUCCUUUAUCUUCUUCUGUGUUAUUUGAGUUUAAAUACAAUUGAUAAGCAUUCUUGAUGUAAUAUUCAAUGUGUGGUGUAUAUUCUUGGGCUCAAGAUUGGAUUAACUUCUUAUCUUUAUUCCAACAAUAAUAAACUUAAGUCUUGAUUGGUAUUAAGGCAUAAUUGUAAAAUAAAGGUUGACAACAUAUGUUAUAAUUGUAAUUUUUAAAUUAAUCUAUCUUCCAAACCACAGCAAUAAAUGUUUACCAAACAUUUUUUUUUACUAUUAUAGAUGGGGAUAUGAACUCUCCAGAACUCCUUUUUAUAGCUAGAAGCCUAGAUUAGAGAAUAAUAUUUUUUUAAAUUAAAGUGAUAAUUCAUAUAAGGCCACAACUAUUGUAAUAAGGUAGAAUAAAUUUAUAUUUGAGAGGAGUUUAUGCUAAGUUUAGCUUACGGUGUGUUUUUAUGAUGUUUGGGGUAUCUAGUAUCGCUGAGAUACACCAACUAGGUGGUGAGCUAUAAUGAUCUACAUAGUGAUCUAAGGUAGUCAUAUGGAAAACAAUAAGGAGCUUAAUAGUGCAUGUAAGAAUUAAUCUGGGGAGUUGAUACUUGAUAUUGAGAGCUGAUGUGUGCUCAGGAGAGUAGCUCAGGUGAGCUUCAAAGGUAGCUUAGGUGAUCUCUCAAAAUACUUAGCGUAAUUAGAGUAGAUCCAAUAAGUUCAUAUGUGAAACAAAACCUCGAUCUCAAAUUGAAAAUAUAGUAAAAAAGAAUAUAAAUAUAAAAAAAUAUACAAUGCUUACAUAGUACGGUCCUUGGCCUAGAUUUAUAGCAGGAAGUCGUCACUAAUUCACUAUAUAAAUGAGAGAUUACAUGAGAUCUUACAUUAUCUAAAAUGAACAACACAAGCUAGAUCGUUACAUAUAGAUGUUUAGUGUCGAUAAAGAUAAAAAUGAUGAAUAAAGAUGUGGAGAGUUAUAACAUGGUAGAGAAGAUAAUAAAGGCGUAUGUUUUCACCAAAAUUUUACUAGGCCCGAUUCAAACCAAUUAGGUGGUUCUCAACAAAUCCAAUUCAAAUUUGAUUCAUAUUAAUAAAACUUAUAUUUGAGGGGAGUUUUUGCCAUGUUUGGAUUUAGGUGUGGUUUUUUUUUGUUGUUUGGGCAGAUUAUUUAGUUGAGAUACACUUGGUGACGAGCUAAAAUAAUAUUCCAAGUGCUGAGGUGGUCAUUAUGAAGAAUAAUAGGGGAGAGCUCGGUGGAGUCUCGUAGGAAUUAAUUUAGAGUGUUGAUAUAAGGGAGCUGAUGUGUGCUCAGGAGUAGCUUAGGUGCACUUAACGGAUAGCUCAAGUGAUCUCACAAAAUAUUUAGUGUAGCUGGGGUAUUCCUGAUAAGCUCACAAGUGAAAUCUCGAUCUCAAAUUGAAAAUAUAACAAAAUAAACAUAAAAACAAAGAACAUGUGAUAUUUACAUGGUUAAAGGCCUAUGCCUGCAGGAGCAAGUCAUCACCAAUCCACUAUAUAAAUGUGAGAUUACAUGAAAUUUUACAUCAUCAAAGAUGAAAAACACAACUAUGGAGCUAUAUAGAGAUAUUUGGUGUUGAUAAAGAUGAAGAUAGUGAAUAAAGAUAUAAAGAGUGAUAAUAUGAUAGAGAAGAUAAUGACGAUGCAAAAUAAAAUAACCUCCCAAAAAUGGAGAAGUGGAUGAUGAUAUAAAAGAUGGAGAGAGAGAGAGCAUGUGUGUGAGAGAGAGAACAGAAGAGGAGAGGAGGCCAAAAGAUGAGAUCAUAAGAUGCCCUAAUAUAGGUGAAUAAGAAAUUUAUAUAGUAGAGGCUAGCGGCAAGGAGAAUGUAUAAAAGUUAGGUUAAAUGCCAUCUUUAGGUUAAAAGAAGAGGAUGUUUUUAAGGUUAUGUGUCGUAUUUAUGAGAAAAGAGAAGAAUAUUCAUUUUGUAUUAGGUUUAUUCUUUCACAUUAAUAUAUUGAAGCAUCCAACCUUAAUCACUGAUUUUUAAGCCUGUCCAACAUAGCAAAUUCUUCCAAAUGGCAUCUUUAUACUACUUCGAGUAUUGUGUCUACUUUAUCUUUUUAAUUAUUCACGUGUCAUUCGUUUAUUAGUCUAAAAAUAUCCUUCCAAAUUUACCCCAAAUAGUGUAAAAUAGAGAAUGGUCUCUCAAAAAUAGAGAAUUGGCUGACGAUUUAAAAAAUAUGGAGAGAGAGAGAGAGCCCAAAUAUGGUGAUUAAGACGUCUACACAGUAGAGGCUAGUGGUAAAAAUAGUGCAUGAAAGUUAUAACUAGAUGUCAUUCUUAGGUUAAAAAGAAGAAAUAUUUUUAAGGUUAUGUAUCAUAUUUAAGGAAAAAAGAUAAAAAUAUUCCUUUUGUACUAGAUUUAUUAUUUCUCAUAAAUACUUGAUGUGUCCAACUUGACCCUUGAUUUUUAAACUCUUCUAAUUUAGUAGAUUAUUCCAAAUGGUAUCUUUAUAUUAGGUAUGGCAAAAAAGCUCGGGCCGACCCUUCCCAUUCCCAUAAGCUUUGGCUUGGGCCUCUACAUGAAGGGUCUAGACAAGGGCUUAAGGGAAAAAUGCCUAAGCUAGACCCAAACCCUCUAUUUUUAUAAAAAAUAAAUAAAUAAGUUAUAUAUUAGAAUAAUAAAUUAAAAAUUAAAAAAUAAUGAAAAAAGCUUAAAUUCCUAAUUUAUAUAUCAAUAAUGAAUCAAAAAACCCAAAUUAUCUGCUGUACCGUACAUCCGCCUUGGCCGUACAAAAUCUCUAAAUUUUAUUUAUUUUUUUCUUUAUUUAUUAUUUUAUUUUAAAAUAUUUAUUUUCUAUAAUUCAUUGUUGAUUAUAAUAACUUGUUCAUUAUUAACUCACUUUCAAAUUUACAACAAUUUAAAAAAAGUAAAAAAAUAAGUGAAAGUCCAAGCCUAGCCCGAGCCUGGCCCUUAAACUUCCCCUCUAAUAGGCUGAGGCCGGACUUUUUCGCCAUCCAUAGUUUAUAUUGCUCUUAAGUAUUAUACCAAUUUUAUUCUUUUAAUUAUCUACGUGUCCUUCAUUUUUUGGUUCAAAAAUAUCUUAUUAAAUUUACCUUCAAACAGGAAUCAAUAGUUGUGGCACAAGGCAUUAGUUAUAGUAAAUGAUAGAGUUGGGCUACCGGAAGAAACAAUGAAUUAAACAACAAUAGCUAUUGGUUGCAGAUACUUAGUAUCAUAGGUUAUAAUAGCACGUCAGUAUUUUAAUAUUUUUAAUUAAUAGAACAAUAUGUGAGUUGGUUGAAAACAUUUAUUAUAAGUCUUACAUCCGGGUUAAAAUAGAAAAAAAGAAGUAUUUAAGCACGUUGACAUUUUUAAUGAGACAUUAUUAGCGGGAUAUUGGGAACGUCAUCGGGAUUUUAAUGGAUUUUAAAAUAGUAAAUUACAUGAGGAGUUUUAUCAUUAUCCUUUCUUAAUAUAUCUUGAUGGUAUGUCCUUUGUAGGUCCAUUGGCAUUUGACUACGAAAAUUCUAGAGAAAAUUCCCCAAAGUUGUUGUUGAAUCCAUACUCAUGGACAAAGGUGAGACAUUAAUUAGAAAAUUCUUUUACAAACUUUCUGUUUUAAUAAUAAUAAUAAAAAAUUUGGAAUUGUAUUAGAGAUCUCAUUGGGAGUUGCAUGUAAAUUAUUAUUCAGGUUGCCAGUAUUAUAUUCAUAGAUGCACCAGCUGGCACCGGAUUCUCAUAUGUCAAAAAUUGGCAAGGAUUCGUUAUGAAUGAUACACUUUCAGCAGUGCAAACGUAUUUUUUUCUAAGAAAGGUGAGUAAAAAUUGAGGUGGUGUGCGUCUUACUGCAUAAUAAAAUCACUAACAAUUAAUUUAUUAUAAGUUGAUGACCAUUUGUAAGAAUAUUAGCUUUAAACUAAAAGUUAAUAUUUUAGCUGUUGUGCUUUAUUAAUUAAGUGGAAGUCCAAGUAGUGCAAACAUAUAUACCUUAAAUCAUGCAUCAAUUGAGUCUAUUGGUUUUCAAAAUUAAUGCAUUAUGCAUGCUAACCAAUCUUUUUAAUUUGUAUAUGAAUGAUGGAUUAGUGGCUUAUAGCUCAUCCCAGUUUCCUCGCGAAUCCACUCUAUAUUUUUGGCGAUUCCUAUUCUGGCAAAGUCCUUCCAAUUGUUGUUCAAAAAAUUUCUGACGGUAAUUUUUUUUUUCCCCUUCUUCCAUCUUAGAAUUUAGUUACUCUGCAUGCUGUGAAACAGAAUCAAACAUUUGCCAAAUUCACUUGCAGAAUAUAAUGGCAUUGAUUAUUACCAUAUUUAUCACAAUUAUCAUUAUUUAGUUGCUGAUACUUUGUUGCAGGUAUUGAUCUCGGAGAUGAGCCUAGAAUGAAUCUCAAAGUAGGUCACCUAGAAUCGGAUAUCACAUAAAUUUUGAUUUAUUUCAUUCUCAGUUUUUUACAUGACUAUUGAAUCUUAACAAUUUUGAUAAUGGACACAGGGAUAUUUGCUUGGCAACCCAGUAACAGAUGAGGCUUCAGACAUCAAUUUUAGACCACAAUUCGCAUAUAUGAAGGGACUCAUCACCCAUGAAAUCUACGAGGUGACUUCUUUAAUCGUAUAUAUUUUUCAAAUUAAUAUUUUGUGUGUCUAGAUAUAAAAUCCUUUCUCUAAUGUAGGUGUCUUCAUUUUUUUCCCAUGCGGAUAUUCUAUUAAGUCAUAUAGUUUAAUAGAGUACUAUUAAUUUUUAAGUUAAUAAGAUAAGAUUUUUUUAAAGUUUAUUAUCUAAUAAAUUUAUUGAAUUAUUAAUUUGUCAUUUGACCCAAGCCAAGACUAACAAAAACUAUCUUUUAAUUGAAAUUAUCAAUUUAUCAAGUAUUAAUUUAACCAGGUUCCAUUGUAUAUGUAAAACAUAGAUUUAGCUAGUUACUGGUAACCAAUUAGUGGCGAAGCCAUGUUAGGAUCUAGGGUUGGCAGAAUUCCCUAAAUCUCUAUUGAGAUUCGGGAUCCAUGCCCAUUUGAGACGAGAUUCGAAAUAAAAUUUAUCUUAGUUUACUAUUCGGAUCAGGAUUGAGACUCAAAUUUUUCCUAAAUUAUUGCUUGGUACGGGAUUCAAGAUGUUUGAAGAUCCUGAUCAGGAUCUUAAACGUCUCGAAAUCUCUGUUUCCACAGGUGCAUGACAAAUCAAUUUGAUGAAUCACAUAUAUAUAUAGAAUAUAUCAGUCAUAUGUUUAUAACACAUCAAUUUAAUAAAUAAAAUAUAUAUGAUAUGUCGGUCAUAAUCGUAUGACAUGUCGUUUAAAAUAGAAACUGCAAUGUGUGAUAGAAAACUCAUGUUAUUUGGAACAAUUCAGGAUCCCAAUUAAGACGGAUCAAGAUCCAUUUUUGUCCCAAUUUACUACUUGAUAAGCGAUUUAGAACACAUUUUUUGCCCAAUUAUCUAUCAGGACAGGAUCAGUAUUGACAAAUCCUAGCCCGUUGGGGAUAAAUAUUUAACCUUACCAGGGUUGAAGUUAUGUAAAAUCCUCAAUAUUUUAGGUUCAAAUUAUAAGGAGAAAAAAAAAUGGUGGGCCCUGUAGGUCUUAUCCAUCGAUAAGUAGUUGACAUCCACAUUUAUAUAAAAUUCAGACACUAAAAUUAAAAGAAGGAUAUAAAUAUAACGUAUGAUAUAUGAAUAUGAACUGCCAUGUAUUAAUUGCUUAAAAUGUGUGAGAUGCUUCUUUUAUUUUCUGUUUACAGUCAGCCAAAAGAAAUUGCAGGGGCGAGUACACGAAUGUAGAUCCAAGCAAUGGCUUAUGUAAAGCUGAUCUUCAAAAUAUAACAGCGGUAUACAGAACAAAACUCGUAGUCAUUUUGUUCAAUUAACUAGUAUUAUAAGUACAGGUAGCAAAAUUAACUCACCCAAUUGAAUUUGUAGUGCAUUGGAAAAUUAUGUAUCCAGAACAUAUAUGAAUCUCAAUGUAGUUUAGAUAUACUCAGAAGACGAGUGCAAUUCAUAUGGGAUCGCGCCAUCAUCCAAGAAGAUUCUUUUGAUUUUCUCUAUUCGGCAGUUCAAUCAGCUCCAAGGCGUUGGUGUCGGGUAAAAUUCUAUACACACACACACAAUAAAUGUGCAAUAACCCAUCAAUGCAUAUAGAAUCAAUCAAUCAACUUUGUUCAAGUUAACGUAUUUCAUAUCCAAUUAAUUUUGAACGUUAAUGUCUCUUUCAGUCCUAGGGUCUGAGUUAAUUACCCUAUUAGCCCUUGAAUCUAUAAGUUAUUUAUUUUUGUAAAAUCAACUUAAUUAUACUUAACUUUUCAUAUGUUGCAUGUCAGACCAAAAAAAAAAAAAAAACCUUUGCUCGUACAAAGUUAGAUCUAACAGUUGUGGAAAUAACACUAGAGACCAACUAAUUAACCAAAACUGAAAACUCAAUGGAAUAUAUAAAGGGGAAUUUACUCAAUUUUAAACGUAAGCAUAUAUAAGCAGUACUGCAGCGCACAUCUGUUUCUAAGGUUUCUUUACUUUUAUUAUUAUUGUUGUUAUUAUUGCUUUACUAUGUACUCAACAAUUAUAGUAUGAGCUGCUGAUGUUCCACUUUCAUAGAAAGAUAACUAUUUCUACUCGUACAAUUGGGCAAAUAAUAAAGCUGUGCAAAAGGCUCUGAGAGUUCGGGAGGUAUGUUAUGGUUGGUUAGAGCAUAGUCGCAACCCAAAUCAUUAAAUAUUAUUUUUACUAAUGCAUUCCCAUAUGAGCAGGGGACAGUAGAAUAUUGGACGAGGUGCAAUAAAAGUUUGUCUUACACAUAUGAUGUCUCAAGUGGUGUUGAUUAUCACCGAAAGCUCACCAAGAAAGGCUAUCAAGUUUUGGUUUACAGGUAAUAAUAUAUAGAAAAGUUAUUAGGAGCGUAUGUUCCAAUAUUUUAGAAUGCCAACAUUUUGAAGGAUGAAUAAAUUCAUCAAUGAUCGGGAAUGUUCAAUGAUCCUGAAUAUGUAACUAAUGAAAUGAUAGUUUGGAAUAUGCCUGAUUGCUUUUUAUACAUGAGACUUCUUCUCCUUCCUUGAAUUUUUUCACAAACGUAAUUCAAGCCUGUAUCUAAAAAGACACUAUAACACUCUUGUUAGCUCAUAUUUUAUGAAUUUUCAGUAAAUCAAAUUUAGUUUUGUCUUCUUCUAGUGCGGUUAAUAGUCCCUUCUUGAUUUUUUUUACCCAUAUUUAAGUCUUAAAUUGAGUCUCAAUAUUAUAUGUCACUCAUUUACUAGAUGAUAGAUUUUAUGGCUUUUAAAAUCACUUAACCAGCAUCCAAUAGAUGAAUGCUACAAUAAUUGAAACUUAAAUUUUGGGAUACCUAGUAUUGCUCUUAAAACUUUAUCACGGACUUGCUAUGACGGACUAAGUUUCUAGCUAUCUCGUAGUCUACACAUUGGACUAAUUUUCUUUCACGAAUACAGCGGAGAUGUCGACAUGGUAGUUCCAUAUAUGGCUACUGAAGCAUGGAUAAAGUCAUUAAAUUUGACGAUUGAAACUGGCUGGCAGCCGUGGUUGGUGGAAAGUCAAGUUGCAGGGUUGGUUUAUUUUCAUCUCAGCUUGUUUAUCAUAUUUGGAAUAUUAACUUUAACAUUAUAUGAUAUCUGACAGUUGUUUCAAUUUCUACUAUUGAUUUCUGUAGAUAUUGGUACCGUUACAAGGGAAAGAACAAUUAUCAUUUGACAUUUGCCACAGUAAAGGCAAGAAUAAAUCAUUUUCCCUUAAAACUAUCUACCGUGAUUAAUUAGCUAAUUAAGCAGCUAUAUUAUAUAAUUAAUGACUACUAAUUGUGUAAUUAAUAUGGGUUGUGCAGGGAGCAGGUCAUACAGGUCUAGAGUACAAGCCUAAGGAAUGUCUUGCAAUGAUCUACAGGUGGUUCGCAUCCUAUCCUCUCUAGAGCCACGUUCAUAUAAUUAUUAAGUUUUCGAGAUUGAAAAAUAAAUGUGGAAGUUAAGUGGCUGAUGGCGUUGUAAACACCGAUGAAAUUAUUUAUGUUUGGCUUUACCAAACUUAUGAUCUGAAAAACUAGUAUUGCAAGAGCCUUGAUGCUCCUAUUUGCUUUUUUAAAAAUGUCGCUCCAAACUCAUUUGUGUACGGGUUUUUUUCAUCUUAACUUGGUUAUCAUAUUUGUCUUAUGAAAUAAUUAUAAUUUAUGAAUCCUGUCACACGUCUGCCAUAUAUAAGCCUCGGGAUCAAAAACUGUGACAUGAGUAAUCGUCAGAGCCGCUUUGCAUUCAAUAAGGGACUUAAGUGACAAAAAAAUUUAAUGGGAAUUCUAUUGAAAUUGAUUGAUUGGACAAAAUGAGAGGAGGAAAUACCUCCACGUCUACCCAUUAAUUAUAAGACAACACUGGUAGGUACUAAUUUCUGGUGUUCAAUACUAACUUUCUGAGCUUAAUUCCCUCAAUCACCAAACAAAAACCUCGGCUUCUAGGUGGACUAACUGAUAAUAUAAGACUCUUUUACAAGAUUAUAUAAGACAUGAAUUACCUAAAAAACAAAUUCAUAUUUCACUUGUGAUAAGUAUAAUAAAUGCCGUACCUUUCUCGGUCUUCAUCAGUUCAUUGAGCACUAGAAGAUUAACGUAUAAAAUGUAUGUAUUAGAAGCUCCCGAAACUUAAUUAGCUCGGUCUCAGGAGUCGGAAACCGGCAAUAAGACGGCAUGAGCCAAAUAGCGAAGAUCAAACAAAGAUGAAGCCCAAAACACUAAGCUCCAAAGUUUCACUCAUCGUAGCUUUAAAAAAACAAUGUUAAUAAUAAUAAUCCUCUCAUCGUCUUCUUGUUACCAUCAUAAGACCUGUUCAAUGCUAACCAUAUGAAAACUAAUAACUCUCCUUUUCCUGGUGUCAGUUCUUUUUUUCUCUUGUUCGUAUUCAUUUCUUAAUUCAAUUUUAUAAUGCUUUUAGACUUGUCUUCUUAUAAGUUACCAUAGCCUUCUUACCGUCCAAAAUUGCAGUCCAAAUUUGCCUUAGAUGCUACCGUUACCCAAAAUAAAAUCAAAAUAGGAGCCAGCGCAGUAUAAAUUUACAGAAUCAUUGAUUUCUUAAGCCAUGUAUUGCUUCACACUUUUUAGAAUCCAAUUUCUUCAAUUUCAAAUUGUCCCAGUUAAUUAAUUAUUGACCAUGAAAAGCAAGGAAAAAAAGAAAACCACAUUCAUGCAACUUAUAUCAUCACCUGUCUUGCUUCUAAGGAAUGCUAGGGAUUCUUACAUCAACAGCUUCAAUGGCUGUGCCAAUGACGUUGGACGAGGCGGCGCGGUGGUCUGUCCGGUUCCACAUGUUUCCCAUGUGCCCAAG